GACGAACGCUGGCGGCGUGCCUAAUACAUGCAAGUCGAACGAGAGCGACCGGUGCUUGCACUGGUCAGGCAAGUGGCGAACGGGGGAGUAACAGGAGGAUAACCGGCACAUCAGAGGGGGAUAACAUUCGGAAACGGAAGCUAAAACCGCAUAGGGAUUCGAACCUCAUGGGUUUGAGGGGAGAAUGAGCGGACGCGUCUGGUUGUGGAUUGGGCCUGGGGGCAUUAGGUAGUUGGGGAGGUAACGGGUCACCAAGGCCGUGAUGCAUAGCCGACCUGAGAGGGUGAUCGGCACCAUUAGAACUGAGACACGGCCCGACCUACUCCGGGAGGCAGCAGUAGGGAAUCUUACGCAAUGGAAGCAAGUCUGGCGGAGCCACGCCGCGCGAGUGAAGAAGGUUUUCGGAUCGUAAAGCUAUGCUGUUAGAGAAGAAUAAGUGCUAGAGUAAAUGUUAGCGCCUUGACGGUACCUAACGAGAAAGCCACGGCUAACUACGUG
rnacentral:rRNA from 1 species